UCAGAGUCUUCAGGAUGCAGUCUGGACUCUCCAGAAAACCACUCAGAUGUUUCACUCCUGAAUCCUUCAGGUUGUUUCCACUCAGGUCCAGAUGUUCCAGAUGGGAGGGGUUGGACUUCAGAGCUGAGACCAGAGAAUCACAGCUGAUCUCUGACAAACUGCAUCUCCACAAUCUGAAUAAAGAAUAAAAGAUGUGUAUAAAAUCAUUGAUGAUCCAUCAGAUGUGUUCAGGUUCUGAAUGUGCAGAUCAACAUUACUUUGUCCUCAUCAAUCAGCUUUUCUCUAAAAGCAGCAGAGUGACUUUGUCCUUCUCUUAUUGUGGAUCAUCAUCAUGUCAGCCUUCUACACACAUCAUCCACAUGUCAGCACAACAUUCAUCCACCUAUUCAUGUCCACACAUCAAUAACAUGCUGCAUCAUCAACAGGAUCAGGAUCAGUCAAAGAAAACUCAACUCAACACAAACCAAAGAAAUAUUUCUACUUCAGUCAGUAAACUUUGUAUAAACUGAUCUGAGUUCAGAGGAUCUUCUGGAUCCAGAUGUGACUCUUUAGUGCAAAUUACAAACAUUCAUUUAUUUUAACAACUAACACUGAAUAUUUUCUAAUUUUUUCUGCAGAAAGGACGGAACUUUUGUCACAAGAAACUGAUUUAUCAUAGAAAAUAUGAACCAGAGCAGAUUUACAGCUUCAUGGAUGGAAGUUCUGUUGAACAUAAAUGAGCUUCAGUUGUCAUUAAACACAUCAGAUCUACAACAGUAACAGACAGACAGUGAACUGACCUCAGAGUCUUCAGGAUGCAGUCUGGACUCUCCAGAAAACCACUCAGAUGUUUCACUCCUGAAUCCUGCAGGUUGUUUCCACUCAGGUCCAGAUGUUCCAGAUGGGAGGGGUUGGACUUCAGAGCUGAGACCAGAGAAUCACAGCUGAUCUCUGACAAACUGCAGUACUCCAAUCU